CUCAGGAUGAACGCUAGCGGCAGGCCUAAUACAUGCAAGUCGAACGAUAUUUUCCAGCUUGCUGGAAGAGAAAGUGGCGCACGGGUGCGUAACGCGUAUGCAACCUACCUUCAUCAGGGGGAUAGCCCGGAGAAAUCCGGAUUAAUACCGCAUAAAAUCACAGGAUGGCAUUAUCCAAUGAUCAAACAUUUAUGGGAUGGAGAUGGGCAUGCGUGUCAUUAGCUAGUUGGCGGGGUAACGGCCCACCAAGGCGACGAUGACUAGGGGAUCUGAGAGGAUGGCCCCCCACACUGGUACUGAGACACGGACCAGACUCCUACGGGAGGCAGCAGUAAGGAAUAUUGGUCAAUGGAGGCAACUCUGAACCAGCCAUGCCGCGUGCAGGAAGACUGCCCUAUGGGUUGUAAACUGCUUUUAUCCGGGAAUAAACCUCAUUACGUGUAAUGAGCUGAAUGUACCGGAAGAAUAAGGAUCGGCUAACUCCGUGCC
rnacentral:rRNA from 1 species